UACGAAGGGGGCUAGCGUUGCUCGGAAUUACUGGGCGUAAAGCGCACGUAGGCGGCUUGUUAAGUCGGGGGUGAAAUCCUGGAGCUCAACUCCAGAACUGCCUUCGAUACUGGCGAGCUCGAGUGCGUGAGGGAUGGGGGGAACGAGCAGUGUAGCGGUGAAAUGCGUAGAUAUUGCUCGGAAGGCCAGAGCCGAAGGGGCCCCAUUGGUACGUAACUGACGCUGAGGCACGAAAGCGUGGGGAGCAAACAGG
rnacentral:rRNA from 1 species